rnacentral:rRNA from 1 species
GAUGAACGCUGGCGGCGUGCCUAAUACAUGCAAGUCGAGCGAACAGAUGAGGAGCUUGCUCCUUUGACGUUAGCGGCGGACGGGUGAGUAACACGUGGAUAACCUACCUAUAAGACUGGGAUAACUUCGGGAAACCGGAGCUAAUACCGGAUAACAUUUGGAACCGCAUGGUUCUAAAGUGAAAGAUGGUUUUGCUGUCACUUAUAGAUGGACCCGCGCCGUAUUAGCUAGUUGGUAAGGUAACGGCUUACCAAGGCAACGAUACAUAGCCGACCUGAGAGGGUGAUCGGCCACACUGGAACUGAGACACGGUCCAGACUCCUACGGGAGGCAGCAGUAGGGAAUCUUCCGCAAUGGGCGAAAGCCUGACGGAGCAACGCCGCGUGAGUGAUGAAGGUUUUCGGCUCGUAAAACUCUGUUAUUAGGGAAGAACAUAUGUGUAAGUAACUGUGCACGUCUUGACGGUACCUAAUCAGAAAGCCACGGCUAACUACGUG